rnacentral:rRNA from 1 species
UUUGGGCGUAAAGAGCGCGUAGGCGGCUGUGUAAGUCGGUUGUGAAAGCCUUCCGCUCAACGGAAGAAGCGCAUCCGAUACUGCAUAGCUCGAGUGCGGGAGGGGAGAGUGGAACUUCUGGUGGAGCGGUGAAAUGCGUAGAUAUCAGAAGGAACACCGGCGGCGAAGGCGACUCUCUGGUCCGUAACUGACGCUGAGUGUGCGAAAGCUAGGGGAGCAAACGGGAUUAGAUACCCCGGUAGUCCUAGCCGUAAACGAUGGGCACUAAGUAGAGGGGUUUUGAUUAUCUCUCUGCCGGAGCUAACGCAUUAAGUGCCCCGCCUGGGGAGUACGGCCGCAAGGCUAAAACUCAAAAGAAUUGACGGGGGCUCGCACAAGCGGUGGAGCAUGUGGCUUAAUUCGAUGCAACGCGAAGAACCUUACCGGGGUUUGACAUGUUAGAAGUAGAAGCCUGAAAGGGUAACGAGCGGUAUCCAGUCCGAAACUUUCACAGGUGUUGCAUGGCUGUCGUCAGCUCGUGUCGUGAGAUGUUGGGUUAAGUCCCCUAACGAGCGAAACCCUUGUCUUUAGUUGCCAACAGGUCAAGCUGGGAACUCUAAAGAGACUGCCGUCGUCAAGACGGAGGAAGGUGGGGAUGACGUCAAGUCAUCAUGGCCCUUAUAUCCCGGGCUGCACACGUGCUACAAUGGUCGGUACAAAGGGAUGCUAAGUCGUAAGGCGGAGCGAAACCCAGAAAGCCGGUCUCAGUUCAGAUUGGAGGCUGAAACUCGCCUCCAUGAAGUAGGAAUCGCUAGUAAUCGCGGAUCAGCUACGCCGCGGUGAAUAUGUUCCCGAGCCUUGUACACACCGCCCGUCAAGCCACCCAAGCAGGAUGCACCCAAAAUCACCGACCUAACCCGUAAGGGGAGGAAGUGCUUAAGGUGUGUUUUGCGAGGAGGACUA